GGCUAUUGAUGGAUAUCCCGCUCAAGACAGGUCAUGGUUACAAUCAUGAGAUCUGAAGUCAUAAGCCAUUUAGAAAGUUUUGUUUUCGGUUAGCUGUAUCAUGAAUAGUAGCAGGCAGUGGAUGCAUUAGGUAGUUAGGUGGAAGUGCUGGUUGGUUUACCUGUAGUUUUUUACUCUCCAUUUUGAAGCUAUUCGUAUAUCGCACCGAGUAAGUAUGAUGUUUCACCUCAGUUAUACAGCGAACUCAUAUUAGAUGUG
rnacentral:misc_RNA from 1 species